GCCGGAAUGGCCUAAUCGGCUAAGCCGCUAAGGCGUCGCCCCAGAUAGGCGAAGGAUGCGGGUUCGAUCCCCGCUCCUGGCC
rnacentral:tRNA from 2 species